AUUGAACGCUGGCGGAAUGCUUUACACAUGCAAGUCGAACGGCAGCACGGACUUCGGUCUGGUGGCGAGUGGCGAACGGGUGAGUAAUGUAUCGGAACGUGCCCAGUCGUGGGGGAUAACGUAGUGAAAAUUACGCUAAUACCGCAUACGAUCUAUGGAUGAAAGCGGGGGAUCGCAAGACCUCGCGCGAUUGGAGCGGCCGAUAUCAGAUGAGGUAGUUGGUGGGGGAAAGGCCCACCAAGCCAACGAUCUGUAGCUGGUCUGAGAGGACGGCCAGCCACACUGGAACUGAGACACGGUCCAGACUCCUACGGGAGGCAGCAGUGGGGAAUUUUGGACAAUGGGCGAAAGCCUGAUCCAGCCAUUCCGCGUGCAGGAUGAAGGCCCUCGGGUUGUAAACUGCUUUUGUACAGAACGAAAAGGUUUCUACUAAUACUAGGAGCUCAUGACGGUACUGUAAGAAUAAGCACCGGCUAACUACGUGCCAGCAGCCGCCGUAA
rnacentral:rRNA from 1 species